CUAAAUGCUAUGAUGGAAUGAAGUAGCCGUUGAAACAACUUCCAGAGAGUCUGCGGGUGGUGUGAGCGGGCAGUGUACAGCGGUGAAGUUACCUUCCUGAGCAGUCUGCCUGAAAUAUUUCAGUAGGGUGUGACCGUUUUGCCGCGUUAAGGUCAAAGAGGUCGGCGUUUGCCGAUAAACUGAGGUGGUACCGCGUUAAGCGUUAGCUGUUGACGCCCUCAGA
rnacentral:ncRNA from 1 species